GUGCCAGCAGCCGCGGUAAUACAGAGGGUGCAAGCGUUGUCCGGAAUCACUGGGCGUAAAGGGCGCGUAGGCGGCUUGGUAAGUAGGAGGUGAAAUCUCACGGCUCAACCGUGGGGCUGCCUUCUAGACUGCCGAGCUUGAGCACAGUAGAGGCUGGUGGAAUUCCCGGUGUAGCGGUGGAAUGCGUAGAGAUCGGGAAGAACAUCUGUGGCGAAGGCGGCCAGCUGGGCUGUUGCUGACGCUGAUGCGCGACAGCGUGGGGAGCAAACAGGAUUAGAUACCCUGGUAGUCC
rnacentral:rRNA from 1 species